ACUCCUUCCCUACAAGACGCUCUUCAGAUCUUAGGUUCUAAAUAAGAAAUGAAGAAUUUCUCAGUGCUUGUAUAUAACGUGUUACUGACCAACAACAGCAAAACUCAACAGGUACCCCAUCUGAAGCCCUUUGAGUGAAGCAAGAUUUGUGCAGGAUAUAGCUAUAGCUAUGCAGAAAAGCAAACAGUUCAUUUUGGAGUUAUUAAUCAAUACAUUCUUAACUGGUCUUUCCAAACUAACAUUAUCUCUUUAACAACCUCAUGAAUUUUCCAGAUUUUAAAAGAGCCAAUCUUAUUAGCCAAAGUCACUUCUAAAAUAGUUAUUCAAACUGUAAAUGGAGUUACAUAAUUAGAAUUCCACAUAUACUGCAUGCCACUUAUGAAAACUAUGCAAAGGGGAGCAAAUAAAUAUUUAUAAAGAGAAUUCAGAUUAAAAGCAUAUUGCUUUUGUUAGAAGAAUUAAAAGCUUUAUCCCCAGAUAACCAAAUUCACUAUGCUUUGAGCUUUGUUUUAUUGAUGGACCAUGAUAUGUAUCCCACACAUCCAGUCGACACCGAAUCCUGAUAAUUCCGGAGUACGUGUCUCUUCAAUCCAUCCACUUAUAUACAUAUCCUUAUAACCAUUACCAGAACACUCUCCUAUUAUUAACGAUAACUAUAUGAAAUACUUUCCAUUUUAUCAUUCUUUAAAAGAAUUUUUAAAGAAAAAGGAAUGAAUGGAGAGGAAGUCAAAAACGUAGGCUGUCAAAUGU